rnacentral:lncRNA from 1 species
ACCCUAAAAUCUGUCCACCCUAAUAUCCAUAAGGAUACAUAGCCCAAAACACAACUAUCACACAUUUGACAGUUUAUGCCCCUUUAUUCAAUUAACCUCUUUAAGUCACCAAAUUAAUUCUCAAUUAAUAUAUGACUUAUAUCAAUCAAAUUAUAUUAUUAUUCCUUUAAUAUAUUACUCUCAUAAUAUAUUAACAAUAAUAUAUCUUCUCUCUUUACAAAUCAUCCUGUCAAGUUGCUAAGGUGAAGGCAACCCAAAAGGACCAUGCACAAUCGGGUCAAGUACUUACCAAAUAUAGUUAUAGCCUUAGACACUAAUCCAACAGUCUCCCACUUGGAUAAGUCUAGUAACUAUAUAUGUAAACACAAUCCGAUUAGCAAUCGUGGCUCUCAAAGACGCUGUCAAACUCUGAUCUUAUCAAUAUCCUAGCCUUUAGAUAAGGGAUCAUACAGUCCUCUGUUUAGAUAUUGUGUGAACAAUCUCAUAGAUCUUAUUGUUCAGCAGUUGGUUUCUCGAUCUCAGAUUCAUUUGACAUAGAACUUAAUUGAACACAUCAAUUCAGUCCUGACCAGGCCUGGCACAUAUGUCAAAUCAAAUCAUCGAGGGGCCCUGAUAUUGCUUUUACCAUCUUAGGAUAAAAGUAACAGAUAAACUUCGACUUAUAUGCAUUUACUAUUUACUAAUCAACUAUACACAACAAUGCGUUUUAUGACAUUAAUUUACUGAUGCGGUUUCGCAUUGUCAAUGCACAACCAAUUAAUAAACAAUAAACCAUAUAUCUUGGUUUUAAGACUAUAUGAUAUUAUCGUCUUGCGAUCACUUGCGUUACGUUCCAUAAAGUGAUUUCAGCAAGCGCGGGUUUAUUCCAAUGCUCAAAACUUGUUCAUAAGCACUCAUGAACGUUGCAGCAAUCCUUUGCUAUGUCUAAUACCUUUUAGACAAUCUACACACCAAUUCAUGACAAUCUUCAUUCAUACCUACUUCCAACAUAUGAACAAUUGUGGACCAUUCGAAUAAUUCGAUUAUUCUUAAUAACUCAAUUAUUUAGGAAGUCAAAACAUGCAAAGUGAAACAAUAGUUAAACAAUUAACAUAAGACAGUAACUUUAAUUAUAAAUAAUAAUCCUUUAUUUAAUCAUCAAAUGUCAAUUACAUUUAUCUAUUACAUGUUUCCAAACUAUCUAAUCUAAACUAAUAUCGUCUUUCAGCCCAAUGCUCCUAGCGUGCUGCAAAUGCUUAACCCUACUCAGUCCCUUCGUAAGCGGAUCUGCUGGGUUAUCCUCUGACGAUACCCUCUUUACUACGAGGUGUCCUUCUUCUACUCAAUGUCUAAUAAACUGAUAUUUUCUGUCGAUAUGCCGAGAUCUACCAUGAUCCCUCGGUUCCUUGGUCAAGGCAACUGCUCCUUCAUUAUCACAGAAAAUUUCCAUAGGCUCCUUUAUGGCAGGCACAACUCCAAGGUCACCAAUGAAGUUCUUCAACCACAUCGCCUCCUUUGACGCUUCGCUCGCUGCAAUGUACUCCGAUUCGCACGUUGAAUCAGCUAUGGUCUCUUUCUUGGAACUUUUCCAAGUCAAUGCCCCUCCAUUAAGGGUAAAAACCCAGCCCGACUGUGAACGAUAGUUGUCCCUGUCGGUCUGGAAACUUGUGUCACUAUACCCUCGCACCUUUAAUUCAUCACUCCCUCUGAGGAAUAAACACCAUUCCUUGGUCCUCCGAAGGUACUUAAGUAUAUUCUUGACCGCAAUCCAAUGAGCUCUGCCAGGGUUCCCUUGAUAUCUAUUGACCAUGCUCAAAGCAAAGGCCACAUCAGGGCGAGUACAAGUCAUAGCAUACAUGAUUAAGCCAACUGUGGAAGCGUAGGGUACUCGACUCAUCUCAGGUAUCUCGGCUUCUGUACUCGGACUUUGAGUCUUACUCAAUUUGGCAUUACUCUGUAUCGAUAGUUCUCCCUUCUUCGAGUUUUCCAUACUAAAACGUUUUAGUACCUUAUCUAAGUAAGUAUUCUGACUAAGUCCUAUUAGUCUCUUACUUCAUUCUCUCACUAUCCUUAUUCCCAAAAUAUAGGAAGCCUCUUCGAGGUCCUUCAUGGCGAAGCACUUCCCGAGCCAGGACUUAACCUCCUGCAAAGUCGGGACGUCAUUUCCUAUGAGCAGUAUGUCAUCGACAUACUAAACGAGGAAGCUAACUAUACUCCCACUGGCCUGGACAUAUACACAUGAUUCAUCUUCACUUCGUACAAAUCCAAACUCUUUGACUUUCUCAUCGAAGCAAAGAUUCCAUCUGCGAGAUGCUUGCUUAAGUCCAUACAUGGACAUCUCAAGAUUGCACACUCUAUUGGGAUGCUUCGGAUCGACAAAACCCUCUAGCUGAGCCAUGUAAACAUCCUCAGCCAACUUCCCAUUAAGGAAAGCAGUCUUGACAUCCAUCCACCAUAUCUCAUAAUCAUGAAAUGCAGCAAUGGCUAGCAUAACCCUAAUAGACUUUAUCUUAGCAACUGGUAAGAAGGUCUCAUCAUAGUCAACUCCGGGAGUUUGAGUAAAGCCCUUUGCAACCAGUCGUGCCUUAUACAUGUGCACAUUUCCAUCCAUGUCGAUCUUCUUCUUGAAGAUCCAUUUGCACCCAACCGUCCUACGUCCGGGCACAUUGUCAACCAAAUUCCAAACUUGGUUGUCAUACUUGGACUGAAUCUCGCUGUCCAUUGCCUCUUUCCAUUUCACAGACUUUGGGCCUGCCAUGGCUUCCUUAUAGCUAUUAGGUUCAUCUAAAUUUAUUAGUGUACCAUCACUAAUAUACGUGUUCCCUUCGGUAGUAAUAUGAAAGCCAUAAAACUGGGGUUGNGACUUGUCGUUGAGGUUGCUCUCAGCAGUCCUUAGGAGCCCUUGGAGUUUGCUUAGGGUGACCUCUUCCUUGUUCAUGUGGUAGGUCAUCCUAAAUUGGUUGUAUCAUGAGGGCAAGGAGUGAAGAACAAUGUCGAUAGCCAAAUCUUCCCCAAAGUUGACAUUCAACUUGCGAAGACGAUCAACAUACCUUUGCAUCUUUUUCAAGUGCAUGGUUAGAGACUCUCCACUUCCCAUUUUAGUAGUGAUCAUCUUCGUUAUGAUCUCAUAGCGCUCUUGCCUCGUGCUUUGGUGGAAUCUAUCUAUCAAGUCUAGAUGCAUCUCAUAAGGAUACAUGUCCUCAUUGGACUUUUGGAAUUCGGAGUUCAUCGUGGCUAGCAUGAUGCAAUGGACUUUCGUUGCAUCACGUUCAUGGGUCUCAAAGACAGCCAUUUCAUUGGGAGUAGCAAUUUAUGGAUUGAUCUUCUCGAGCUUCUCAUCGAGAACAUACUCUUUGUCCUCGUAACGCGCGAUCGUGCGAAUGUAUCUUAUCCAUUCGCUAAAGUUCGAUCCGUCAAAAGUCACUUUUUAACAAAGGCUUAUUAGCGUGAAUGAGCUAGCAGCAACGUUGUUCGUGUUAGACGUCUACAAAUAGAAAGGAAAAAAGUUUGAUUAGAGUUAAGUCCCCAAUUAACACCCAAAAUGAAAAAUUAGGGCUAGGACCCAACAACAUUAUUUACACAUUAGAAAAGGGAUGUCGUGAUCCAACAUGCAAAUAAUUUAUAGGUAAGUGAAUGACGAUUCACUAAUUCUUCACCAUGAAAAGCACAAGCUUAAGUGUUAAAUGUAUUGAGAAUUCCUAGAUUUCUUUGAGAUUCAUUGAACCUUUCAAUGACUAUUUAAAUCUCGAUAUGCCCCUCUAGUUUGUGACUGGGACGCCGAGGAUCACAAAGUGGGUGUGAAUAACCAUGCAAAUCUACAUGGUGCCUUCAUUGUUACAGUCAUCUAUUCGAUGUGCCGGUAAACCACACACGCUCCAUCGAACUAUGACAAACAAUGAAUCACCCUUUGCCACCUUUGCUUAGAACCAAUUAGUGUGUCGGUUAACCACACACACUCCACUAAUAUCUUAACAAGGGUGCAAAGUGCAAUUUCAUGGGAUUACAUCAAUUCACUUUUCCUAAAGUAACUAAGAUUGGGAAUUUUAUGAAAUACAUUUAGUUACUUUAUAUAGAUUCAUUAUACUUAUUACUGAGGAGAGGAUUGCCAUAUCCUACCCGUUCGGCUAAUGACCCUCCACCAGUCAAGCAAGCGAUGGGUGUGAGUGUACACCCAUUAAGUGCCAUUUUAUAGGUAGCAACCUUAUACCCCCACCUUAUAGACUGGNUAUAUAUAUAUAUUAAGCUUGUAAUAAUAUAAUAGUAUAGUGUUGAAUUUUAAACUUGUAAAAUUCUGGGGUUUGAAAUUUAAAUGAUUCAAAUUAAACUUUAAAUCACAAAACUUAAAUUUCAAAACUUGAGGACAAGUUUUAAACUUUUCAAAACAUAAGGAUCAAAUAGCAAAUUAUACAAAUCAACUAAUCAGAUUAUUUAAAUUUGAUAUAAUCAAUAUUACUUGCAAGACAAUUCACCAAUUUAAUUCAAAUAAUCAAUUAUUAUCAUAUAAGGAAAUUAUUAUUCAAUUAAAUGGUAAUUAUCUUUUGUUUGGUCAAGAAUAUACUCCAAUAUAUCAUAAAAUUUGGAUUUUAAUGGCCCAAAACAAUUAAGGCAAGUAUCCUCAAGCAAAACAACAAGAAAUCCUGAAAUCUACUCUUUCUGGCGCUAGAACUCGUCGAAUUCCUCUGUGAACUCGCCGAGUUCACCAGUCAGAAGCAUAAAAAAUCGAAUAUUUCAAGCAACAAGCAAUUAACCAAAGCAUCAAUUCAAUAGAAAUCAAGCAAAUCUCUGAUACCACUGAUGGGUUUGAGCCAUAAGAACUUUCCUAUGUGCAUAUGCAAACCCUAAUGCUUGGAUCUAGGUUUGUCUAAUUGAACAUGGAAUGUAUCCAAAGCUUACAAUUCUAAAUCUAGUGAAAACAAUUGAAUCUUAUCAUAUGAAAUCGGAUAUAGAAGAAUACCUUGAGUUGCUUGCUUGAGACUUCUUGUUCUUGGAGCUUAGAGUCACAAUUGUCACUCCUCUAAUGGCUUACAAACACCAACUAGCAAGAGGAUGAUCUUGAAAGAGAGAGGAUGUGAGAAAUCAGAUCUAGGGUUCUUCCUUGCAAGAGUAUUGCCGAUUUCCCUCACCCAAGAGGUUUAUUUAUACUAUGAGAUACUAGGGUUACACCCUUAACCCUAAUUGAAUAACUUAGGCCCUAAGCAAUCCAAAGAUCCUCCUAGAUAUGAGGCUUGGACGAUUUUAAGGUAUCCUAACCAAAAUCCGUCNCAAAACAUAACUAUCACACAUUUGACAGUUUAUGCCCCUUUAUUCAAUUAACCUCUUUAAGUUACCAAAUUAAUUCUCAAUUAAUAUAUGACUUAUAUCAAUCAAAUUAUAUUAUUAUUCCUUUAAUAUAUUACUCUCAUAAUAUAUUAACAAUAAUAUCUCUUCUCUCUUUACAAAUCAUCCUGUCAAGUUGCUAAGGUGAAGGCAACCCAAAAGGAC